CCCGGAGGAAGAGAAAGAAAAUUCGAUUCCCUUAGUAGCGGCGAGCGAAAUGGGAAGAGCCCAAACCAACAAGCUUGCUUGUUGGGGUUGUAGGACACUCUAUACGGAGUUACAAAGGACGACAUUAGACGAAUCAUCUGGAAAGAUGAAUCAAAGAAGGUAAUAAUCCUGUAGUCGAAAAUGUUGUCUCUCUUGAGUGGAUCCUGAGUACGACGGAGCACGUGAAAUUCCGUCGGAAUCUGGGAGGACCAUCUCCUAAGGCUAAAUACUCUCUAGUGACCGAUAGUGAACCAGUACCGUGAGGGAAAGGUGAAAAGCACCCCGGAAGGGGAGUGAAAUAGAACCUGAAACCGUGUGCUUACAAGUAGUCAGAGCCCGUUAAUGGGUGAUGGCGUGCCUUUUGUAGAAUGAACCGGCGAGUUACGAUUUGAUGCAAGGUUAAGCAGUAAAUGUGGAGCCGUAGCGAAAGCGAGUCUGAAUAGGGCGUUUAGUAUUUGGUCGUAGACCCGAAACCAGGUGAUCUACCCUUGGUCAGGUUGAAGUUCAGGUAACACUGAAUGGAGGACCGAACCGACUUACGUUGAAAAGUGAGCGGAUGAACUGAGGGUAGCGGAGAAAUUCCAAUCGAACCUGGAGAUAGCUGGUUCUCUCCGAAAUAGCUUUAGGGCUAGCCUCAAGUGAUGAUUAUUGGAGGUAGAGCACUGUUUGGACGAGGGGCCCCUCUCGGGUUACCGAAUUCAGACAAACUCCGAAUGCCAAUUAAUUUAACUUGGGAGUCAGAACAUGGGUGAUAAGGUCCGUGUUCGAAAGGGAAACAGCCCAGACCACCAGCUAAGGUCCCAAAAUAUAUGUUAAGUGGAAAAGGAUGUGGCGUUGCCCAGACAACUAGGAUGUUGGCUUAGAAGCAGCCAUCAUUUAAAGAGUGCGUAAUAGCUCACUAGUCGAGUGACACUGCGCCGAAAAUGUACCGGGGCUAAACAUAUUACCGAAGCUGUGGAUUGUCCUUUGGACAAUGGUAGGAGAGCGUUCUAAGGGCGUUGAAGCAUGAUCGUAAGGACAUGUGGAGCGCUUAGAAGUGAGAAUGCCGGUGUGAGUAGCGAAAGACGGGUGAGAAUCCCGUCCACCGAUUGACUAAGGUUUCCAGAGGAAGGCUCGUCCGCUCUGGGUUAGUCGGGUCCUAAGCUGAGGCCGACAGGCGUAGGCGAUGGAUAACAGGUUGAUAUUCCUGUACCACCUAUAAUCGUUUUAAUCGAUGGGGGGACGCAGUAGGAUAGGCGAAGCGUGCGAUUGGAUUGCACGUCUAAGCAGUAAGGCUGAGUAUUAGGCAAAUCCGGUACUCGUUAAGGCUGAGCUGUGAUGGGGAGAAGACAUUGUGUCUUCGAGUCGUUGAUUUCACACUGCCGAGAAAAGCCUCUAGAUAGAAAAUAGGUGCCCGUACCGCAAACCGACACAGGUAGUCAAGAUGAGAAUUCUAAGGUGAGCGAGCGAACUCUCGUUAAGGAACUCGGCAAAAUGACCCCGUAACUUCGGGAGAAGGGGUGCUCUUUAGGGUUAACGCCCAGAAGAGCCGCAGUGAAUAGGCCCAAGCGACUGUUUAUCAAAAACACAGGUCUCUGCUAAACCGUAAGGUGAUGUAUAGGGGCUGACGCCUGCCCGGUGCUGGAAGGUUAAGAGGAGUGGUUAGCUUCUGCGAAGCUACGAAUCGAAGCCCCAGUAAACGGCGGCCGUAACUAUAACGGUCCUAAGGUAGCGAAAUUCCUUGUCGGGUAAGUUCCGACCCGCACGAAAGGCGUAACGAUUUGGGCACUGUCUCAACGAGAGACUCGGUGAAAUCAUAGUACCUGUGAAGAUGCAGGUUACCCGCGACAGGACGGAAAGACCCCGUGGAGCUUUACUGUAGCCUGAUAUUGAAAUUCGGCACAGCUUGUACAGGAUAGGUAGGAGCCUUUGAAACGUGAGCGCUAGCUUACGUGGAGGCGCUGGUGGGAUACUACCCUAGCUGUGUUGGCUUUCUAACCCGCACCACUUAUCGUGGUGGGAGACAGUGUCAGGCGGGCAGUUUGACUGGGGCGGUCGCCUCCUAAAAGGUAACGGAGGCGCUCAAAGGUUCCCUCAGAAUGGUUGGAAAUCAUUCAUAGAGUGUAAAGGCAUAAGGGAGCUUGACUGCGAGACCUACAAGUCGAGCAGGGUCGAAAGACGGACUUAGUGAUCCGGUGGUUCCGCAUGGAAGGGCCAUCGCUCAACGGAUAAAAGCUACCCCGGGGAUAACAGGCUUAUCUCCCCCAAGAGUUCACAUCGACGGGGAGGUUUGGCACCUCGAUGUCGGCUCAUCGCAUCCUGGGGCUGUAGUCGGUCCCAAGGGUUGGGCUGUUCGCCCAUUAAAGCGGUACGCGAGCUGGGUUCAGAACGUCGUGAGACAGUUCGGUCCCUAUCCGUCGUGGGCGUAGGAAAUUUGAGAGGAGCUGUCCUUAGUACGAGAGGACCGGGAUGGACAUACCUCUGGUGUACCAGUUGUCGUGCCAACGGCAUAGCUGGGUAGCUAUGUGUGGACGGGAUAAGUGCUGAAAGCAUCUAAGCAUGAAGCCCCCCUCAAGAUGAGAUUUCCCAACUUCGGUUAUAAGAUCCCUCAAAGAUGAUGAGGUUAAUAGGUUCGAGGUGGAAGCAUGGUGACAUGUGGAGCUGACGAAUACUAAUCGAUCGAAGACUUAAUCAA
rnacentral:rRNA from 1 species